UACGUAGGGACCGAGCGUUGUCCGGAAUCAUUGGGCGUAAAGAGCGUGUAGGCGGCUUGCUAAGUCUUGCGUGAAAUCUCGGGGCUCAACCCCCGAGCGGUCGUGGGAAACUGGCAGGCUAGAGUUCGGGAGAGGAUGGUGGAAUUCCCAGUGUAGAGGUGAAAUUCGUAGAUAUUGGGAAGAACACCGAUGGCGAAGGCAGCCAUCUGGACCGACACUGACGCUGAGGCGCGAAAGCGUGGGGAGCAAACAGG
rnacentral:rRNA from 1 species